AGGGUUUGAUCAUGGCUCAGAACGUACGCUGGCGGCACGCCUAACACAUGCAAGUCGAACGAAGUAGCAAUACUUAGUGGCAGACGGGUGAGUAACAUGUAGGUAUCUGCCCUUUGGCCUGGAAUAACACGAGGAAACUUGUGCUAAUACCGGAUAAGUCUUUACGGAGAAAGCUUUAUGCACCAUUGGAUGAGCCUGCACUUGAUUAGUUUGUUGGUGGGGUAAUGGCCUACCAAGACUGUGAUCAAUAGCUGAUUUGAGAGGAUGAUCAGCCACAUUGGGACUGAGACACGGCCCAAACUCCUACGGGAGGCAGCAGUGGGGAAUCUUGCACAAUGGAGGAAACUCUGAUGCAGCGAUGCCGCGUGAGUGAAGAAGGCCCUUGGGUUGUAAAGCUCUUUCGUCGGGGAAGAAAAUGACUGUACCCGAAUAAGAAGGUCCGGCUAACUUCGUGCCAGCAGCCGCGGUAAUACGAAGGGACCUAGCGUAGUUCGGAAUUACUGGGCUUAAAGAGUUCGUAGGUGGUUGAAAAAGUUGGUGGUGAAAUCCCAGAGCUUAACUCUGGAACUGCCAUCAAAACUUUUCAGCUAGAGUAUGAUAGAGGAAAGCAGAAUUUCUAGUGUAGAGGUGAAAUUCGUAGAUAUUAGAAAGAAUACCAAUUGCGAAGGCAGCUUUCUGGAUCAUUACUGACACUGAGGAACGAAAGCAUGGGUAGCGAAGAGGAUUAGAUACCCUCGUAGUCCAUGCCGUAAACGAUGUGUGUUAGACGUUGGAAAUUUAUUUUCAGUGUCGCAGCGAAAGCGAUAAACACACCGCCUGGGGAGUACGACCGCAAGGUUAAAACUCAAAUGAAUUGACGGGGACCCGCACAAGUAGUGGAGCAUGUGGUUUAAUUCGAAGAUACGCGCAGAACCUUACCAACACUUGACAUGUUCGUCGCGACUUUAAGAGAUUAGAGUUUUCGGUUCGGCCGGACGAAACACAGGUGCUGCAUGGCUGUCGUCAGCUCGUGUCGUGAGAUGUUGGGUUAAGUCCCGCAACGAGCGCAACCCUCACUUUUAGUUGCCAUCAUUUAGUUGGGCACUCUGAAAGAACUGCCAGUGAUAAGCUGGAGGAAGGUGGGGAUGACGUCAAGUCCUCAUGGCCCUUACGUGUUGGGCUACACACGUGCUACAAUGGUAUUUACAACAGGAAGCAAGACUGCGAAGUUAAGCAAAUCCUUAAAAGAUACCUCAGUUCGGAUUGCACUCUGCAACUCGAGUGCAUGAAGCUGGAAUUACUAGUAAUCGUGGAUCAGCGUGCCACGGUGAAUGCGUUCCCGGGUCUUGUACACACCGCCCGUCACACCAUGGGAGUUGGUUCUACCUUAAGGCAAGGUUUAAAACCCUUGACCACGGUAUAGUCAGCGACUGGGGUGAAGUCGUAACAAGGUAGCCGUA
rnacentral:rRNA from 1 species